rnacentral:rRNA from 1 species
GACGAACGCUGGCGGCGUGCUUAACACAUGCAAGUCGAACGGAAAGGCCCUGCUUUUGUGGGGUGCUCGAGUGGCGAACGGGUGAGUAACACGUGAGUAACCUGCCCUUGACUUUGGUAUAACUUCAGGAAACUUGGUCUAAUACCGGAUAGGAGCUCCUGCUGCAUGGUGGGGGUUGGAAAGUUUCGGCGGUUGGGGAUGGACUCGCGGCUUAUCAGCUUGUUGGUGGGGUAGUGGCUUACCAAGGCUUUGACGGGUAGCCGGCCUGAGAGGGUGACCGGCCACAUUGGGACUGAGAUACGGCCCAGACUCCUACGGGAGGCAGCAGUGGGGAAUAGUGCACAAUGGGCGGAAGCCUGAUGCAGCAACGCCGCGUGCGGGAUGACGGCCUUCGGGUUGUAAACCGCUUUCGCCUGUGACGAAGCGUGAGUGACGGUAAUGGGUAAAGAAGCACCGGCUAACUACGUG